GAUGAACGCUAGCUACAGGCUUAACACAUGCAAGUCGAGGGGAAACGACAUCGAAAGCUUGCUUUUGAUGGGCGUCGACCGGCGCACGGGUGAGUAACGCGUAUCCAACCUGCCCACCACUUGGGGAUAACCUUGCGAAAGUAAGACUAAUACCCAAUGACGUCUCUAGAAGACAUCUGAACGAGAUUAAAGAUUUAUCGGUGAUGGAUGGGGAUGCGUCUGAUUAGCCUGUUGGCGGGGUAACGGCCCACCAAGGCUACGAUCAGUAGGGGUUCUGAGAGGAAGGUCCCCCACAUUGGAACUGAGACACGGUCCAAACUCCUACGGGAGGCAGCAGUGAGGAAUAUUGGUCAAUGGACGAGAGUCUGAACCAGCCAAGUAGCGUGCAGGAUGACGGCCCUAUGGGUUGUAAACUGCUUUUAUAAGGGAAUAAAGUGAGCCUCGUGAGGCUUUUUGCAUGUACCUUAUGAAUAAGGACCGGCUAAUUCCGUGCCAGCAGCCGCCGUAA
rnacentral:rRNA from 1 species